CAAGUCCUAAAUCUGGAAACGGGUGGUUUUAAUUGUUUUAUUUAGUUGCAUAAGCAGGCAAUAUAAGUACCUUUUCGAGAAAGAAAAUCUGCAUGUAUCGGUAUGCAAUAGAUAAAUCUAGAUAUAUCUUCCAAACAAACUCACAUGAAUACGAGGAAACUAUGAACAAACCCACCAUAUCCUGAAACAUCACAAAGGAAGCUGGACCUGUAAGCAUGAUUUUCACCAUACUAAUGUAUAAUGCUUCAAAGCUUCAGGUGACUUGGUCUACCACUAUUCUUGUCAUUUCUUCUAGGUUUCUCAUAAUGAUGGAGAGCCUCUCCCUGAUCCAUAUGAGUAUCGUAGUAUAAUUGGGGCCUUUAAGUAUUUUACUCUCACUCAAGUUUAUGAAUGUAACGUGCUAGUUUAUACAUUAGCCUACUUUCUCCUGUUUCCAUAUUGUAAUAAAUAUUCUUCAGUUUGUGAAAGGAACUCAAUUCCCAUUGUCUCCACAUUCUUGCAAGUUCCUCUCUCCUUAACACCGGGUCAACGGUUCGAGUACCCAUAGGUGGUGAAAUUCCACUACGGCAUGCGUGUAUGGGGUGCGUAUG